GUUUUUUUUUUUUUUUUUUUGCAUUGGAAGCAUAUUCUCAAUGGAUCGAUGCAAGUUCUUGAGGAAGAAAAUGGCAUUCACACUUCACAGCCAUUGACUAUGAAGUUGCUCCUACUGCAUAAAAAGGUCAGAUGAAUAACUUUUGCAGUAAAUGCCAAACCAAUGUCAAUAACGCAGCAUCCAGAGUUUAGGUCAAGCUUCCUUAAACGGUCCCUGACUUUCAUCAAGUUUUGUUAUCUGCAGGGGGUGGAAAUAUUCAUGACCAGCAAACCCUAAGGGUGCACAAGAUUCAAACUACUCGUCUCAAACUCGCGAAUAUCUCGUCAAUAGCUUGAUUUGGACUCGAUGUUGAGCGAGCUCAAGUCGAGUUCGAGCAAUUCGUUUGAACUCGUGAGUCAAUUUCAAACUCAAAAUUCUAGUACUCGAAGCUCAACGAGCUCAUUCAAGUAGUUGCAUUUUUUAAUUAAAUUAUUAGUAUUACAAAAUUACUCGUUUAGGUAAGUUAUUUGUGAAAUUUAUUAUAGAUAUUAGAACCAUUAGCCAAGCUUGAGGUUGAGUACUUGAGCUUGAUUAGGUUUGACAACUAUAUCGAGUUUUUUCAAGUCGAGCUCGAUGUCAAGUAGAAGCCUUUCGAGUUGAAUUUAGACUUCGACUCUUAGAUCCGUUCAAACUUGAGCACCCCUUCAUUCAUCAAAUUUGAGCUCGAGCAUUGUGAUAUUUGAAUUAGACUCGACUUUAAUGCAUCUCUACCAAACACAAGAUAUCUUUGUAUUUUUUUUCGUAUAAUCCUUUUUUUUUGUUGAAAGAGAUGAUGGAAACUGACGUCGUAUCAAAUCAUAAAAAUGGCAAUAAAGUCUUAUUUAGCCAAAUAUGGAAAAAAAGAGAACGAGAGAAUCAGAGUAUCUAUUGGAGGACUUCAAAAAGGCAAAAAAUUUUAGGAAGGAGCACGUAGUGAGUACUGAAGGACCAAUUAAGCCUUCUGGACCAUGCACAACAAAAAUCAUGCCCUUUGUCUUUCUAUUACGCAAAUUAGGCGGGUGCAGCUGUAAGAUACAUUAUGAGAUUAUAUGUUGUUUUCAUAGUUGCUGAUGUUGAAAUCUAAUCUCUCAACAAAUGGCCAUUGCUUGCCUAAUAUGCCUUGCUUCACCUCGUUGAGAAAAUCCCUCUGACUCAAUCAUAUCAACCAUCAAUCUUAUUCUAUUUUGCAGAAUAUAUAUUUAAACGAAAAAAGUCAAAGAAUUGUUUCGUGUAUGCUUUCAUUGAAUUUUGUUGAAGAACGACUUUAAUCUCUUUUGUUUUGAAUAAAUUUGCCCCAUGAUCUAAUUAUGUCCGUAGCUGAACGACUAUUGAGCAAAAAAUAAUAUCAAGAACUCGCGCAGUUAGUGAAAGCGUCCAUGUAUAAACAGCCACAAUUGCAGUGUAAAUGCAUGACUUGUGAAAAAAGAUAAAAUAAAGUCACAUUGAGUAAUUUUUUCUCACGGAAAAUUUUCUAUAACGCAUAGAGCCAGUUGAAUGAGGUAAAAAGUGGAACAAAUUUAUAAGAGACCACCAAAUUCAUUUUUUGACCGCAAAUAUAGUUAAAGGAAUUUACAAUGAUAUGGGGCAGAUCAUGGUUGGCUGACGGGAACUAAUUGUUGAGGCUCCAAAAGGGGCCGGAAGAUGGUGCAAUAGUUGGGCAUUUUGUGAGGGUCAGCAUACAGUAGUGUCUCCAAUCACCGAAAGGUGAAAAUAGAUGUGAAAAAUUUUUCUACCGCAUUCAUUAAUUAGUGUCUCUUUUUGAUGUGUACCUUGACCACAAAGUCCGAUAGAGAGACCAAUACAGUGUCAUUUCUUGUUUCCUUUCCUUGACCUACUGUGUUUUUUCGCAUGAUUAAUCUUAAAAUUUGUUAAGAUCAAAAAAUUACUCGAAUGAAUUACUAUUGUGUGCAACUGUGCAUGUGGACAUAUUGAGAUUUUUACUCAGAUUUAUAUGCCCGUUGAAAGGAAAGGGUUAGAUUGAACAUUAACUUACGUAUUUAUGGAAAGGGAAGAGUUAAAUUGAAUAGUAACGUAGAAUAGAUUGCAAGUAAGAAAUUCUGAAUUCAACACAUCCCACCACCUAAUAUCGGUUGAAAAUGUGAUGGAUGGAUCACAUGCAUGAUACACUUUGUGAGAGCCGAGGAAAAGCGAAACGGGGAAUAAUGUUCCACACCCCAAAUUCGCAUCCCUAAACUUUUCCACUUUUGCUUCAUUCUAGGCUUCGUUUUUCACUGCAUGGCCUGGAGCCCUCCUGGGAGAGGGGAAAGCAGCUGCAAAUUCGUGUUUCAGUGGUAAAAAAACCCACAAGCAUUCGGGGCACAUUGUGGCCUCAAAUUUGCUAGUUUGGUACAGCUAGCACUUAACAACCAUCAGGCUUGAAACAAAGUCAGUACAAAUGACUUUUGUAAGUGAGCAUGUUUUCAUAACAUGUUGUUUUUGUUGUUUGAAAUACUCUACUAGGUUUGUCAAUUGCUAAAAAAUUGCGUUUGGACUUAAUCUUUUUAAACCAAAAAAAAAAAAAAAAAACCAACCAAAGCAAGCUGAGAAGGCAUAUGAAACGCUUUUGAGUUUCCGCAAUUGAUCUACAAAGAUUCUCUUAAACUUGCUUUUUGUCAACUCAACAAAGUUUCAAAAGCAAUAAUUAGAGUUAACUGCAUAUGUUUAAUAGCAUUUGCACUUGCAAUUAUUGGCCACCUUCCAUCUAAUCUCUCCCUAUCGCCCUGUGCGGGCUCUGCGUGUGUGUGGUGUGUGUGAAGGAUAAGGCUCUUUCGGUCGUUAUCUGACCAAUUGAUAUCUCCAAUCGAGUUAAUAUCAUUGGCUUGCUGUCAUUUCACAGCUUGUUUUGUAAUUACUUAUGGUCACAAACCCAUAAACACAAAACGCCAGUGCACGUAUUUGCUCCUUUUCUACUAGUAUUUCAAUUCAGUUUCACAUCACUUUCUGAAUAUAUAUACUCAUGUUCCCAUAAAACUCCUGAAUCCUGACGAAUUUAUUCUUUGAUUUUCGACUUUUUUUUUUUUCAAUUUGUAGGAUGAAUUAAUUCAAUGUUCUUUUCCAUUUAUAACCUGCCGACAUAUUGUAAAGGAUGUCUAAUAUUUGACAUUUUGCCUUUUCUCUUUGUUUUGUUCUAAUAUUUGUAAUUUUCUUCUUUGGUCUCUCAUCAUAGGAACCCACAAAGCAUUACCCAUUUUAUUUGAUGAGUGAUCAGAAAAGAAGUAGGAAAUUCUUUGAAAAAAAAAAAGGGCUGUUUAAUCGGUGGGUGCAUUUGAUUUGUUCAAUCGGUAGUAGUAGAUAAAGGGCUGUUUGUUAAAUGUUUCAAUCUCCUUGAACAAGAUAAUCAAUUGCAUGCAGUGAUGUAUUAUUUUUUAGAUCUAACUUCUUUUUAGAUUUUUUUUUUCCAAGUCAAUUCUAAUAUUUUGUGCUUCUCUGCUGAAACAUAUAAUCUUCCUUCACCAAAUAGCAAAUUCUCCACCAAUCAAUUAUUUUAGAAGAAACCUUUAGCAAGUGUGAAGAACAAGAUUAUAGAAGUGCAUGCGCAUGUAAUCAUUAAAUUUAAGAAUAUUGAAUAAGAAAAAUAAGUCGAAGUGGAGCUAAAAUUAAUGAACGGUAAUUAAGUAUUAAUCUAUAGCUCCUGAACUUGACGAGACUACGGAUAAAUCUCUACCCAAUGAAACACAAGCAUAUUAAUUAAGACAUAAUCCUGGGUUGAUUGAUAUGCAGCGGAGCUCUAUUGUUAUCCAAACUCAUCUGAAAUAUGGGUCCGAUCUUCUCCAUUUUUAACUUUUUCAGGAAUGUAACAAAAUUUUGCUCUCAAAUUUACUAAUAAUUGAAAGUACUCUCUCGGGUCUGGGCUAGUUGAACAGAGACGUAAAUCUGAGAAUUGACCGACUCGAAUUUUGACUUUGAUCGGUCCAGGAAAUAAUUAAUGUUGCAAGAUUAGACGGAUUUUUGUGCUUAAAAAUGGAAUACUAAUAUGUUACCAUGUUAAACAUACAUAAUUAAACAUCACUCAAAUGAAGUAUAUCUUAUAUUCUGUUCUUGCAUCUGUCUUGUCCCCCCUUCAUCUUCUUCUAUAUGUGAAUGGAGGAGCGCUCAUUCUUUUGCCGAAUUUUUAUGUACCAAUGGUUGAGCUUGAGAUGAAUGGAUGAGCAUGAUUUCCAUCAACAAAAACUAGAAGAAAGAAAAAGGAAGGCAUGAUUGUCAAUACCCCAGGACUCGUGCCUGUCUCACAAACAAGGAUUUGGUUUGCUUAAAAUGUAUGUGUCCAUUAACAUCAAGACAAAAGCAUCGGGAUAGGGACAUCGAAAUCUGGUGCCAAAUCAUUUUAUAAUUGUCAUACUUUCUUCACCUGCAUGCUUGUUGUCCCCUCCUCAUAUUAUAUACGCAAUGAACUUCUAGGGGUUCAGCAAAACUCCAUCUCCAAGAAGCCAUAAUCCUCUCUUUUCCAUCGCCCAUUACACUCUUGGAAUUACAUAGUGUAGGUCACCACAAAGAAUAAGUUUGGUAAGGAUGGGUGGCUACUUUGGGAACAAAAUCACAUUGCAACUGUUGAGAUUGACAUGAGAAUCCUAAGUUAAUGAUGAGGCAUUCAGAAACAACUCAACUGAAGAAAAAUGUGGCAUUUUUGGGUCCACCCGGUGUGAACUUUUGAGCAUUGCAGUAACGUAGCAAAUGUCCAGUUCUUGGAGAAGGAUAGAAUUAUGUUGCAGAUCUUAUCAACAGCAGAUAUUGAUGGUGCAGAAACUUCCAGUUUCUUACCCCUUUUCCGCGCCUUGCUUCUUCUUGAUCCCAGAUUCAAAGUAGAGUCCAAUCGUAUAAACCAAAAAUUUCAUGUCCAAAUCGUUUUAUCACGUUGUGGCAGAAUGAUUUUUCGAGCCCUAAUCAUCAUGUUACACCAACAACACAUGGUAGCACUUCUCUACCCGUGUGACACCUUCAAUACCACUAUUGAUUAUGUGCUUGUAGUUUUUCCUUGCACAUGUGCUUGUACUCCCCUGUGGAAACAUUUGGACAGUUGUGGUAUGAACUAGUAGCUAAUUAAAUCAUUCCACCUGCGGUACGGUGAAAAUCACUUGUCCUUCAAAUGUGGCAAACUAUAUCAGAGAACUCCUUCAACUUGUGUUUCUAUUUGCGUUUGCCUAUUUUCUAGAACUCGGGUUUCUAGUGCAUAAAAUAUUCUUCCGCACUUCACAAAUGGCAAAAUAUUUUCACGAGACAUGUACAUUUAACUCAAAAGAACAUGAAAUACGAGGGACUAAAAAUAAUUGAAUUUGGGAUUCAGAAAAUGGCACAAUUCAGGGGUUGAAACUGCAAAGUCGUAGUAGUGUAAGGAUUAUCAAAUGGUCAUACAAAAUGGUGAAACUGGAGCUCAUAUUUCUAUUCUCAGACAUUUUUAUCUUCAUCCCACUUUUUUUUUUUCUUUGUAAGUGAGAAGAUUUGAAUCCAAAAUCUCUUAUUUACAACAUCUAAAGUCCCAUUUUACCACCUAACCCAACCCUCUCCCAUCCCCGUCCCACACAUAAAAUGUCAGUUUGAUUGACUAGCUUAUUGUCGGGAAAAUAUGUGAAUAAUCAAUGCUAGGUAUCUAAAGACCGUGGAAAAAGUUGGGCUACUAUUUUUUUAUUUUCAUAAAGUAUUAGUACAUUAAAAAAAAGGAAAAAAAACUUAAAGUUUUUUAUAUUUUCAUUAAUACUGUGUAUACUGCUAAAAGAUGAACUAGAAUGCAAUUAAAACAAGGGUUUCUUUAACGGGUGCCCUGUUAAUAUACCCAAAUCAAUUGCAUAACCGGCCCAACCCAUAUUUAUUAGCAAGCUCUUGCAUGCCUUGAUUUCGGUCUUGAUUGAAUCAACGAUACGCUGGGACUGGGAGUGGAAGCUAUGGAUCAAUGGUUCUUUAAUGAUGAAGAGUCCGUCUUGUUGGGGCGGAAACUUCCCGAAAGCUAGCUGGCCGGAAUUGAACUGCUAUGGCUGAUAUGCCGGAUGAAGGUCUCAAGAAUCAUUUUAAAAAUGUAAAUGCUAUGGAUAUAAUUUUGCAGAAAUUUUGAAACUGCUUGUGGAUAAAAAGUACUAGUUUUUACCAUAGCCUUCACAAUCAGAACAGCCCAAUAAGCAAAAGCCCACGCCCAUUGAUCUGCUAUCAUACCAACGACUUCUAAUCUAAAAAAAGUAUAAAUAGUAAGAAAUAGGACCAAGUUCGGUGCUUCGACUACUACAGAGGCACUUUGAGGUUGACUAAACAACAAACACUUUUAAAUCCUUCCAGAACCCCAAAAGCAAACAGACAUUUGGGCAUGAAACUGGAUUUAAUAACAGGAACUACUUUACUUAGUCUUCAUUACCAACAGAUAUUUAGACAUGGAAUUGGAUCAGUACUGUUGAACGUGCAUAAACAUAAAAAAAAAAAAUAACUAUGAGAUGUAAAUUCCGCCCCAACAUGUAGGAGGACCAGGUGUGCAAUAUGAUGACGGAAUUGGAGACUAGAGUAUAUAUUAAACAAACCAACUCUUAAUCUAAUUACGCUAAAUAGAGAAACAUUACACUCGAUAUCCUUAAAUUUUACCCGUUCCAAGAGGCUGCCUAGAUGUGUCCCCUGAUGCCCACGCAUGGUAAUCCUUCACCAGCUGCAAACCAGAGAUGAAUGACCAGACCCAGCAGCGAGAAAAUAACCAAUUAAAAGUCAAGGAUAUCCGGACAGAGGAAUGAUAGAUUGAUAACAACAACGUAGGUUCUAAACAUAUAAAUAGGUUGAAGACAUUAAUAAUCAUGUUAUAGAAACGAAGCUAAAUUUUUUUAUUUUACUUUUGUCUCUUGCACCUCUAUAAUCUUGGAUGGCAAGUGGUAGUGGGAAGUAUUUCGUUAACCAAGCAGUCCUCAACUUGAGCAAGGUAAGAAGUUAACUAAUGGGACAAAGUACGCAUUAAAUAAAAUGAUUAAUCUUCUAUACACUGAAAACAAAUACACUAUCACCGGUGGAUGCAUGACAAUUGAUCUAAAUUUGAAUUUGAAAUCCAAAUUUUGCAUGUGUUAAGGAUCCCCUUGCAAAUCAAUCCUUUUAUCUGCAGCCCCUUGCAAUGACCAAGGCAGAUGAUGCAGCUUUACACCAUUACACACAAAAUUGAAAGGGAAGAACUAUGGGGAGCUAUGGUUAGAGUAACUUCACUGCCUUAAACUACUCUCAAGAGGGAAAAAGUUUCCUUGGCUGUGCUUCAUCUGGACCAUGCAGAUGAUGGAAGACAGUGCAAGUGACUGGAACAACUAAUAAACCUAAUGAAGUUUAUAAAACUUCUCGAGUUUAAUGACUAGUUUAGACCUCAAAUGGGACAGAAGACAUGAAAGGAUAAGUUCAGAGCCUCAGACAAGGGGACAUGACACUAGUUCUGUAUUCACUAGCUUCAGUAGACUUCAAAAGGACCCACCCACUUAACCCCCCCCCCCCAACAAAAAAAAAAAACCAAAAUAAGGGGCAAAAAGAAGACGGGGGAAAGAGGGUCAGAUUUUUUUUUUCAGGGUUUUAAUUGGAGAUUUAAAGAACAGUCAUGCUGUUUAAUGGGAGACAGAUCCUGAAACUCUUGUUAAGUCUUUGUGGGAAGAGUAAGGCCCACUCAGGAGCGCUAUUGAAUGCAUGAAGCUUCUCCCCAGGAAGUGGUUGAUGAAAGGUAAAAUUGGCAAAAGGCUUUGUAUGAAUUAUGGAACCAAGGGUGCCAAAAAAACAAAGGCACAGAAUGCAGCAGCACAUAAAACCAAAGAACCCACUAUACCUCUAGUCGGGUGAAGAUACUGGAAAAACAGGCCACAAUAGACAAGAAGGCAAGAAGAUGCGGAAGCUCUGGAAGUCAAUCAGUGACUGUGAUAAAGCUACUCGCAACCUUAAGAAGAUGUGGAAGAUCGGAAAACCAACUUAACACUCCCCACCACAAUAUGAGCUGACAGCCAAAAUAACAGCUUAAGACAGAUUUUGUUCCACCUCUCAGCAACAUGCACAAGAACCUUCCUUUCCCAAAAGACACCCCAUGCCCUUCCUCUCCCACCAUGACCAAAAUCUAGAAGGUUAGUUAUUCCAAACCAGGUAACUUUGGACAAAUUCAACAUCAAUCCUAAUUUGCAACAUUGCCUUCGUAUUAAUAUGAAUUCCCUUCCCAUCCAUUUAAUGUCACAUCACAAGUAGUACAUGCACAUAGAGGUCACUCAUAAACCUCAAAAUGCCAGCCUUAACAUAUAAUAAAUUCCCCUUCCCUUCCAUAGAAUGGCCUUCACGUUUUUCGGGUAAACAUCAUAAACAAACUUCACAGUUAGGCAGGAUAGGAACCAAACAGUUACAAUUAAUUUGUCGUAUUCCAAAAUCCAAGUCCUCCAUUGUACUUUCCUGAGUAUUUUAUCUUUUCACUCAUAAAGCUAGAGUAUGUAAAGAAGGUAGACUUCACAAGUCAAACGACAAAAAUGGAAGAGAACAAUAGCUACAGGCAUAUAUGCACAGGAAUCAUAAAAGAGACCAACUAUCUUGAGCAGAUUUAACUGAAAUUAGAGUUAAAGGCUAUGCCAACAAAUUUAUUUCCAAAAUCUUUGCACAUUUUGGCAUACCUGGGCCAUAAACCGGGGAAGCAUGAUCCUUAGAACUUGUCCUAGGACCUGGGUGCCAGUCGAUUCAAUUGCUGCUUUUGGAAGUGCUUGAAAGGGAAAAGGGAUCUCAAUGCUUACCUGCAUACCACAUGCCAGUUGCAGAAUCAGUUAACAGGAUACACAAGAAUCAAAACCAGUGAUUCAACAUAGAAAACAGAGGCCAAAUCAUGGUCAGCACCUCAAUAACUGCAUCUGAGGUAAGUUGCUGCACUGGUACUUCGCUUUUUGAGGUAUCAUACUUGAUUUUAUUCUCCAUAGAAGCUGCAUGCCCAUACCAAAUCAAUGUCAAAGCUCUCCUGAAAGAAUUAUAUAAUGAAUUUCAGAAUCCAACAACACGAGAAUCAUCACUCUCCCAGCAGAGAGAUCCUUAUUCUUAAAAUUUCUAAAGAGAACCCUUAAACCAAAUUGAAGGCUUUACGUUGUUGAACUACAUUCUCUCAGGUGCCACACUGUAUCGUGUAUACUAAAUGAAAACUCAAAUUUCAUGAAAAUUUGAAAUACAUCAGAAAGGCUUCUUGUCGUUCUCAGUUUCCAGGAUGUCUGUUUGGCAUAUAAGUUUUCUCAGAGCAUUAUCUCCCACGCACAUUGUAUAAAGAACAAGUACAACCAUUUCAUGACUCUGCUUUUAUCAUAAGUAAAUCAGGAAAACAGCUAAGCCCAUCUUAGGCAUGUUGAUAAUCAAUACCAUAUUUCCCCAAAGUCUAACAAGUUGGACUUCAACAGCAUCAUCUUACCAUUAAAAGACACUUACCAUCAAAUUUGUUGUUCUGCGCUACCACAAUUGGCGAACCCUCAAGCUGAAAUUAACAUUGAACCAAUUUUUUUAGAGAAACAAAAAUUCAUGCAUACAACAAAAAAUAAAGCGAAACAUAUGUUCACCUUGCAAGACAAGAGCUUAAUACAACAACCAUCAGGCUGCUCCUCCACUCUGACUAACAACACAGGGCAAACUUCAAAUGCAAAGAACUUAAAUCUGUAAACAUAACACCUGAAGGUGCUAUCAUCUACUCUUUCUAUCCUUUCCGCAUCCAACACCGAGUACUGACUAGCAGGCAAGCUCAUAUACUCGCCUGGAAAAAACAAUUUAUAAAAAAGAGAGAUACAAAAACACUUGAACACAUUUUACACUAGUUAAGCAUCUAGAAAAAUCAGUCAGCCGGAAAUGGAAUGAAAUAGUACUCAGAGGACGUUGGAGCUGUCGGACGGAGACGGACUCCGUCCGCCUUGCCACAAAUCGAGCCUUUGGAGCAGCAGAAUCAGCUGAAAUGCGAACUGAAGAUUUCGACGAAUCGUCAGUUAAACUGGAGAGUACUCGGGCAGAUAACCUAGGGUAUCUAAACCGGGACGAAAGCGAGCUCCAAUGCGUUGAAGAUGAACUCAAAGCCAUGUUCAUCUUCUCCCUUUUCUUUCAGAAGAAAUCUCGUUUAAUUGGAUCUGUGAUAGUUAGUUUUACGAGCAGAUGCGGGGAAGGAUAAGACCACGAGGGUAUGGUAGUCUUUCGCUAGGUGGCGACGAAAACAUCCGGCGCAUUGUGGCUAUGGGCCCACUGUUUCGGCUAAUUUACGCCUACUAAAGAUGACGCAAGUCCCAGAUAAGCAACAACUGCUGAUGUCACAAAAUCCAGUUAGACAUAUGAAUAUGCCGUAGUAAUUAGCUCAUUCCUCACGCAUUCUUCAGUUUUAUCGACCCGAUUUCGAUUGCAAUUAGUCAGUAAGUUUAUUAAUUAAUCCGGAUAAUUCAGCAUAGAUUAGCGCCAUAAACGUCGUCGCGCCAAUACUAGAACAAUCAAUAUGGAAAUUAGUCACAGAUUAUGCCUGGAAACUUAGAUUUGAUCAAUUACGAACCAGAGAUUCAUUACAUUCGAAAGACUUCAUCAACCAUUUUUACACUAACAACUACUACGGACAUCAAACCCUAAUUUCAACUCUAAACAUAGGAUUCUAGAAACAGAAAAAACCAAAAAAAAGCCCAAAAUAAGAUAAGAAAACCCUAGAAAUCAACCGUUUUCUCUUCAAUUUCCUCAAGAGCUAGUGAAUUUGGUAACAGCCUUGGUGCCUUCGGAGACGGCGUG
rnacentral:lncRNA from 1 species